GAUGAACGCUGGCGGCGUGCCUAAUACAUGCAAGUCGAGCGAACAGACGAGGAGCUUGCUCCUCUGACGUUAGCGGCGGACGGGUGAGUAACACGUGGAUAACCUACCUAUAAGACUGGGAUAACUUCGGGAAACCGGAGCUAAUACCGGAUAAUAUAUUGAACCGCAUGGUUCAAUAGUGAAAGACGGUUUUGCUGUCACUUAUAGAUGGAUCCGCGCCGCAUUAGCUAGUUGGUAAGGUAACGGCUUACCAAGGCAACGAUGCGUAGCCGACCUGAGAGGGUGAUGGGCAACACGGGAAAUGGAACAGGGUCCAGACUCCUACGGGAGGCAGCAGUAGGGAAUCUUCCGCAAGGGGCGAAAGCCUGACGGAGCAACGCCGCGUGAGUGAUGAAGGUCUUCGGAUCGUAAAACUCUGUUAUUAGGUAAGAACAAAUGUGUAAGUAACUAUGCACGUCUUGACGGAACCUAAGAAGAAAGCCAGGGCUAACUACGU
rnacentral:rRNA from 1 species